GCAAACUGCUCAGUAACACGUAGCUAACCUGCCCUUAGGCCAAGAAUAACCUCGGGAAACUGAGGCUAAUACUUGAUAAAAGACAUUCCCUGGAAAGACUUGUCUUUGAACUAAGGAGGGGGCUGCGGCGGAUUAGGUUGUUGGCGGGGUAAUAGCCCACCAAGCCGAAGAUCCGUAAGGGCUCUUAGCGGAGAAGCCCUGAGAGGGAAUCUGAGACACUAUUCCCAGCCCUACGGGGUGCAGCAGUUAGGAAUCUUCUGCAAUGCGCGCAAGCGUGACAGAGUGAGUCAAAGUGCCUGCCAUUAGGCAGGCUUUUGUGGAAUGUAAAAAGUUCUACGAAUAAGGACUGGGUAAGACUAGUGCCAGCCGCCGCGGUAAUACUAGCGGUCCAAGUCGCAGCCAUUCUUAUUGGGUCUAAAACAUCCGUAGCUUGCUUGAUAAGUUUUCUGUGAAAUCUCAUAUCUCAAGUAUAAGAAUUGUGGAAAAUACUGUCAAGCUAGAGACCGGGAGACGUAAAGAGUACGUCUAAAGUAGCGGUAAAAUGUGUUGAUCUUAGGCGGACUGACGAUAGCGAAGGCACUUUACGAGAACGGUUCUGACAGUAAGGGAUGAAGGCUAGGGGCGCAAAACGGAUUAGAUACCCGUGUAGUCCUAGCAGUAAACACUGCACACUAAACCUUGUGAUCUCUUCGAGAGAUUGCAGGGCUGCAGGGAAGCCGAAGAGUGUGCUACCUGGGAAGUAUAGUCGCAAGGCUGAAACUUAAAGGAAUUGGCGGGGAGACACUACAACGGGUGACGCGUGCGGUUCAAUUAGAUUAUACGCCGUGAACCUCACCAGGAGCGACAGCAGAAUGAAGGUCAGUCUAAAGGGCUUACCUGACACGCUGAGAGGGGUUGCAUGGCCGACGUCAGCCUGUGCUGUGAGGCGAUCUGUUAAAUCAGAUAACAGGCAAGACCCACAUCUUUAUUUACUACGUGUACAAUAAAGAG
rnacentral:rRNA from 1 species